rnacentral:tRNA from 1 species
AGCAAAGUCAGCUAAUAAUAAGCUUUUGGGCCCAUACCCCAAACAUGUUGGUUAAAAUCCUUCCUUUACUA